UGUUUUUUUUUUUUUUUUAAUUACAACGUUUUGCAUUAACAUGACCCACAGGGCAAACCAUGCAUGAUAUCUAUACAAGGUUUUUGAGGCAUAAUAACCACCUCAUUGCAUAGAACCCAAACCCAUCUAAACUCAACCCUAGCAGCCGAUGGAACACCCCUGCCUAAACCAUUGAAAUGCCGCCUUGUGCUGGGCUGGUGCAUAAACCGGGAAGAGAGAGAAUAGCCACUCCAGCAACAACAGCUGAAUGAAAAAGCUCAUGCGACAAUGCUACCCAGCCACUGCUGGACGUCAAAAAAGCCUCUCAAAACUUUCUUGUGCUGCCGUAGAAGCCAGUCACCGAAGGAGAAGAAGGGCAGAGCUCGCGGCAUUUCACUCUCUUAUAGCCUGGUGGAGGGUCUGAACCAAGGAAAGGCUGACUUACUGACCCAAGAGGUACCCUUCAAACGAAACGAACAAAUCUUCCUCAGUGGACCACCUACCAUCGGCAAACUAAUCAGUAUAGGCAGAACCAAAACACUAGGUUUUCAAGGAUGCCUUCUCACUGAAAUAUAUACCUGUAAGCAUACAC
rnacentral:misc_RNA from 1 species